UUUUUAUUGAUGAUUCUACCUAAGACUCAGGUGGCUUAUGCCUUAAUUAUACCUGCCGAGGAGUAUAAGUAUUCUUACUUAGAAACUUUCUCUAUGUCUUGGUGGACGUAGGGCUUUUUUAUUAUAAUA
rfam:Lactobacillus capillatus DSM 19910 NODE_14, whole genome shotgun sequence.